GGGGUUGUAGCUCAGUGGUAGAGCUAAGCACUCUAUCGCUUGCUUAGCACCUAUGAGGCAUUGGGUUCAAUCCCCAGCACCA
rnacentral:tRNA from 1 species